AGAGUUUGAUCCUGGCUCAGAUUGAACGCUGGCGGCAGGCCUAACACAUGCAAGUCGAGCGGAUGAAGGGAGCUUGCUUCUGGAUUCAGCGGCGGACGGGUGAGUAAUGCCUAGGAAUCUGCCUGGUAGUGGGGGACAACGUUCCGAAAGGAGCGCUAAUACCGCAUACGUCCUACGGGAGAAAGUGGGGGAUC
rnacentral:rRNA from 1 species